rnacentral:lncRNA from 1 species
GGUAAAUUCGUCUUUUCAUGUGUCAUUUAACACCGUGAGUGGUCAAAAUGGAUGGAAGUGUUACAAAGGGAACAAAUUUUAGCAUUCGUGCUAGAUAAGGAAGAAUUUUUUAUGCGGUGUCAAAUAAGGCAAAAUAUUUUAAGCCAGUGUUAAAUAAGGAAUUCUCUCUAUUACAAAUUAGUGUUCUAGUGUGGGUUUCGCGUGGCCGUGUCAAUAUUUUUUGCUGAAGCUACAACCUAACACUGACCUUAAUUUCUGUUUAAGAAACUAAUAAUUGUGGUGUGCGGUGUGCCUCAAUAGUCAUUGCUGUAAAAUGGUAAAGAAAUAGGGAUUAGCUAAUACGUCCCUCUAUGAAACAGUUGGUGUUAUUGCUUUUGAUGGCUAAAAGGAUGCAUCUUACUUACCUCACUACAUUAGGUUUAUAACCCGUUCCAGGAUUUUGUGCAGGAGAGUUCGGUCUCAGGGUUGCACAAGGUUUACUG